rnacentral:rRNA from 1 species
UACGUAGGUGACAAGCGUUGUCCGGAUUUACUGGGCGUAAAGAGCGCGCAGGCGGUCGUUCAAGUCGAGUGUGAAAGCCCCCGGCUCAACUGGGGAGGGUCAUUCGAUACUGAUCGACUCGAAGGCAGGAGAGGGAAGUGGAAUUCCCGGUGUAGUGGUGAAAUGCGUAGAUAUCGGGAGGAACACCAGUGGCGAAGGCGACUUCCUGGCCUGUUCUUGACGCUGAGACGCGAAAGCUAGGGGAGCGAACAGG